rnacentral:rRNA from 1 species
GUGAGUAAACUAUAGUUAAUGUACCCCAAAGUACUGGGAUAGCCACUGGAAACGGUGAUUAAUACUAGAUACACCUUCUUAUCAUAAGGUAAGAAGGGAAAUGUCUUUUCGCUUUGGGAUCAGACUAUAUCCUAUCAGCUAGUUGGUGAGGUAAUGGCUCACCAAGGCAAUGACGGGUAGCGGUUCUGAGAGGAUGAUCCGCCACACUGGUACUGAGACACGGACCAGACUCCUACGGGAGGCAGCAGUGAGGAAUAUUGCACAAUGGGCGAAAGCCUGAUGCAGCAACGCCGCGUGGAGGAUGACGCAUUUCGGUGUGUAAACUCCUUUUAUAUGUCAAGAAAAUGACGGUAGCAUAUGAAUAAGCACCGGCUAACUCCGUGCCAGCAGCCGCGGUAAUACGGAGGGUGCAAGCGUUACUCGGAAUCACUGGGCGUAAAGGACGCGUAGGCUGUUUAGCAAGUCGGAUGUGAAAUCCAAUGGCUCAACCAUUGAACUGCAUUUGAAACUGCUAGACUAGAGUAUGGGAGGGGGAGAUGGAAUUAGUGGUGUA